CAAUUAGCUUGAGGAAAACGUUUACUCUUGCUUAUGUGAAGCUUGGGUAAGGUUGUGAAUAAAUAAUUGGAGCUUGAAAUUGUGAAUACUGGAACUUGGAGGAAGCGGAUUAGUUGAAGUUUUGAGGGCUGUGUUCUUUUAGGAAAAUUGUCUUGGAAUAAUACUUGGGAAUCGGCUAAGAUGCAGGUCGAGAGGCAUCUCGUUAGGCGUCUGGACUCUUGAAGCGGAGUGGUUACUGGGUUAUUUUGUUAUGUUAUG